UAUUGCGCAAUGGGCGAAACUGACGCAGCGACGCCGCGUGGGGGAUGAAGGUCUUCGGAUUGUAAACCCCUUUCGGGAGGGAAGAUGGGACGGGCAACCGUUCGGACGGUACCUCCAGAAGCAGCCACGGCUAACUUCGUGCCAGCAGCCGCGGUAAUACGAAGGUGGCAAGCGUUGUUCGGAUUUACUGGGCGUACAGGGAGCGUAGGCGGUUUGGUAAGCCCUCCGGGAAAUCUUCGGGCUUAACCCGGAAAGGUCGGAGGGGACUGCCAGGCUAGAGGACGGGAGAGGAGCGCGGAAUUCCCGGUGUAGCGGUGAAAUGCGUAGAGAUCGGGAGGAAGGCCGGUGGCGAAGGCGGCGCUCUGGAACGUUCCUGACGCUGAGGCUCGAAAGCGUGGGGAGCAAACAGGAUUAGAUACCCUGGUAGUCCACGCCCUAAACGAUGGACACUAAGUGUCGGCGGGUUACCGUCGGUGCCGCAGCUAACGCAGUAAGUGUCCCGCCUGGGGAGUACGGCCGCAAGGUUG
rnacentral:rRNA from 1 species